CCUACGGGUGGCAGCAGUGAGGAAUAUUGGUCAAUGGGCGCGAGCCUGAACCAGCCAAGUCGCGUGAGGGAAGACGGUCCUAUGGAUUGUAAACCUCUUUUGUCGGGGAGCAAAAGACGCCACGCGUGGCGUUCCGAGUGUACCCGAAGAAAAAGCAUCCGCUAACUCCGUGCCAGCAGCCGCGUUAAUACGGAGGAUGCGAGCGUUAUCCGGUUUUAUUGGGUUUAAAGGGUGCGCAGGCGGAAGAUCAAUGCCGCGGUAAAAUUGAGCGGCUCAACCUCUUCGAGCCGUUGAAACUGGUGUUCUUGAGUGAGCGAGAAGAAGGCGGAAUGCGUGGUGUAGCGGUGAAAUGCAUAGAUAUCACGCAGAACUCCGAUUGCGAAGGCAGCAGACCGGCGCGCAACUGACGCUCAUGCACGAAAGUGUGGGUAUCGAACAGGAUUAGAUACCCGAGUAGUC
rnacentral:rRNA from 1 species